GUCAGUCCAGGUCACGAAUUCGCGGUUAAAGAGGAAGUGUUUCUAUGUUCAUAUCAUUCAUGUACAACACAUCGGUUUAGCCAAGGAAUUAACUUCAUCUAUAAUUGAGCACGGUUAUAAACAAUACUGAAUAACCAAUCAGGAAAUAGAAUAUACGAAACAGAUAACGCAAUGCAUUCCGCCACCAGUAUUGUUCUUAUCACAGGUCCAUUAAGAAAACGGCAUCCGAUCUGGAGUUGAUGAAUGACUACGGUAGUGAGGAGGCAUGGAAGUACGCGAUUAACAAGUAGUACCUGUUUGAAAAGGCGCUGAAAAAAUACAAUCCCCUGCCAGCAUUAAUCGAACAGGAAGGAGCUGGAAUAGCGUUAGAGAAACACGCUGAGGGACCGUUGCAGCGGGUCGAACGUUGGAUAUAAAGCGAACUGGAAAAGAAAGGAAAUCAAUAAAACAUAAUCGGAAGACGUUAUAGCCGGUAAAGUAGCCGGAAAAAUCGGCGUUGAACUAUAGACAAUUACACUAUCGUUUAUGUGCUUAUGCCAUGCUAUGUCUAAAGAAAUAAACUUGUAU